ACAUCCAGAGAACUUGGCAGAGAUGCCUUGGUGCCUUCGGGACCUCUGAGACAGGUGCUGCAUGGCUGUCGUCAGCUCGUGUUGUGAAAUGUUGGGUUAAGUCCCGNAACGAGCGCAACCCCUAUCCUUUGUUGCCAGCGAUUCGGUCGGGAACUCAAAGGAGACUGCCGGUGAUAAACCGGAGGAAGGUGGGGAUGACGUCAAGUCAUCAUGGCCCUUACGAGUAGGGCUACACACGCGCUACAAUGGCGCAUACAAAGAGAAGCGACCUCGCGAGAGCAAGCGGACCUCAUAAAGUGCGUCGUAGUCCGGAUCGGAGUCUGCAACUCGACUCCGUGAAGUCGGAAUCGCUAGUAAUCGUAGAUCAGAAUGCUACGGUGAAUACGUUCCCGGGCCUUGUACACACCGCCCGUCACACCAUGGGAGUGGGUUGCAAAAGAAGUAGAUAGCUUAACCUUCGGGAGGGCGUUUACCACUUUGUGAUUCAUGACUGGGGUGAAGUCGUAACAAGGUAAGCGUAGCGAG
rnacentral:rRNA from 1 species